rnacentral:lncRNA from 1 species
CUGGGUUCCAGCGAUUCUCCUGCCUCAGCCCCCUGAGUAGCUGGGAUUACAGGUGCAUGCCACUACGCCCAGCUAGUCUGGUAUUUUUUGUAGAGAUGGGGUUUCACCAUGUUGGCCAGGCUGAUCUCGAACUCCUGACCUCCUGCCUCAUCCUCCCAAAGUGUUGGGAUUACAGGGGUGAGCUGCUGCACCCAGCCCUUUCCCUCCUUUUUACUGCCUAGAAUGUGGACACAAUGGCUGGAGCUUCAGCAGUUAUUUUGGACCAUGAAGGAAAAAUAAACAAUUUUUUUAAAGUUGUUUUGUUUUUGUUUAGUUCAUGGUCUCUGGAGUUCGAUUUCUGUUAUUCACAGCUGCACCUAAUUUUGUUAAGUCUUUCCUAUUAAUUGUGUAACUUGGGGUAAAACUGGCUCAGACCUUCUGUUUCCUCAGCUGUGAGACGGGAUUGCAUCUUCAUGUUGCAUUAUGCUGGUGGCUUUCAAACUUGAGCAUGCGUCAGAAUCCCCUUGGCAUAUUAAAACAGAGUGCUGGCCCCCACCCGCAGAAUUUCCGAUUAAGUAGCAACCUGAAAACCGGUAAGUCUAACAAGUUCCUAGAUGCUGCCGCAGCUGCUGCAGGUCAGAACCACGCUGAGGCCUGCAGCCCCCACGGGGAAUGACCUAGGAAGGUCUAAAUUGCCAUACUCAGCCAGCGUGUUUGGCUUCCCUCCCAUUUAACAAGAUUUAUGCAUCCUGUCAAACAUGCUGCCAGUCACCUCUGGCCUCUUCUAUGCCUGCUCCUUGGCUUCAGGGACCCUGAUCCCCAGUUUCUGGAACAGUGAAUCGGAUGCAAAUGCUGUUUACAGAGGGAUCCGGCGGUGGCCCAUCCCCAGGAGGGACUCCCAUGUGACAAGCCCGGCCUCUGACCCACUCCUCCACUGCAAGGAAAUGAUCCCCACUCCAAUGCGUCACGGAGCAGCCCAUCACAUGGGUCAUUCAGCGGAAGAACUACCUUCUGGACCCUUCCUUCUGCCACCAUAUGCCAUUCUGCUAUUUGCAGAGCUGUGA